rnacentral:rRNA from 1 species
ACGCUGGCGGCGUGCUUAACACAUGCAAGUCGAACGAUGAAGCCUAGCUUGCUAGGUGGAUUAGUGGCGAACGGGUGAGUAAUACGUGAGUAACCUACCUUUAACUCUGGGAUAAGCCUGGGAAACUGGGUCUAAUACCGGAUACGACCAAUCUCCGCAUGGGGUGUUGGUGGAAAGCGUUAUGUAGUGGUUAUAGAUGGGCUCACGGCCUAUCAGCUUGUUGGUGAGGUAACGGCUCACCAAGGCGACGACGGGUAGCCGGCCUGAGAGGGUGACCGGCCACACUGGGACUGAGACACGGCCCAGACUCCUACGGGAGGCAGCAGUGGGGAAUAUUGCACAAUGGGCGCAAGCCUGAUGCAGCGACGCCGCGUGAGGGAUGACGGCCUUCGGGUUGUAAACCUCUGUUAGCAGGGAAGAAGAGAAAUUGACGGUACCUGCAGAGAAAGCGUCGGCUAACUACGUGCCAGCAGCCGCGGUAAUACGUAGGGCGCGAGCGUUGUCCGGAAUUAUUGGGCGUAAAGAGCUUGUAGGCGGUUUGUCGCGUCUGCUGUGAAAGGCCGGGGCUUAACCCCGUGUAUUGCAGUGGGUACGGGCAGACUAGAGUGCAGUAGGGGAGACUGGAAUUCCUGGUGUAGCGGUGGAAUGCGCAGAUAUCAGGAGGAACACCGAUGGCGAAGGCAGGUCUCUGGGCUGUAACUGACGCUGAGAAGCGAAAGCAUGGGGAGCGAACAGGAUUAGAUACCCUGGUAGUCCAUGCCGUAAACAUUGGGCACUAGGUGUGGGGGACAUUCCACGUUUUCCGCGCCGUAGCUAACGCAUUAAGUGCCCCGCCUGGGGAGUACGGCCGCAAGGCUAAAACUCAAAGAAAUUGACGGGGGCCCGCACAAGCGGCGGAGCAUGCGGAUU